UUCCAUAUCUUCUUCUGAACACUGUAACCGAAUUUUCCGUCGCUGUAUUUCCUCCAUAGCGAAUCGAUUUCCUUCAGGUCAGAUUCGGAAAUGAACUGAACUUCGGAGAAGAAAACGUAUCCUCGUUUAACCGCUGCUUCUCCGGCUAAAACGAUGAGUAAACGGCGAGUUUCCUCGUCUGCUUCCUGGAAAUUUUGAGAAAUUAAGUGUUGUUCGAGAGUAUCGAAGGGGGUGGUGGUGAUGG
rnacentral:misc_RNA from 1 species